rnacentral:tRNA from 1 species
GAGAUAGUAGUUCAGCUUGGUAGAAUGUCUGGUUUGGGUCCAGAUGGCCGGGGGUUCGAAUCCCUCCUAUCUCA